UGAACGCUGGCGGCGUGCUUAACACAUGCAAGUCGAACGAGAAAGGGAUUGCUUGCAAUCCUGAGUAGAGUGGCGCACGGGUGAGUAACACGUAGAUAAUCUACCUUCAAGCCUGGGAUAACUAUUCGAAAGGGUAGCUAAUACCGGAUAAAGUAUUUUAGCAAAAGUUAAACUAUGAAAGAUUGCCUCUAUUUAUAAGCAAUUGUUUGGAGAUGAGUUUGCGGACCAUUAGUUAGUUGGUGGGGUAAAGGCCUACCAAGACUACGAUGGUUAGCUGGUCUGAGAGGAUGAUCAGCCACACUGGAACUGGUACACGGUCCAGACUCCUACGGGAGGCAGCAGUGAGGAAUUUUGCGCAAUGGGGGAAACCCUGACGCAGCAACGCCGCGUGAGUGAAGAAGGCCUUUGGGUCGUAAAGCUCUGUCGACAGGGAAGAAGUUAAGGUUAUCCAAUAGGUAACCUUAUUGACGGUACCUGUAGAGGAAGCACCGGCUAACUCC
rnacentral:rRNA from 1 species